rnacentral:ncRNA from 1 species
UGACCUCGGAUCAGUAUGAUAACCAGCUAAACUUUAGCAUAUCACUAAGCGGAAAAAAAGAAACUAACAAGGAUUCCCCUAGUAACGACAAGAGAAGACGGAAUAGCCCAGCACCGGAAGCCUGUGUUAGGUUUACUGCUAGGCAAUGUGGUGUUUGGGUCUUCUCGCGGGAUUGCCACUCCACUUGAAGUCCCG